GGCGAACGCUGGCGGCGUGCUUAACACAUGCAAGUCGAACGAUGAACUACCAGCUUGCUGGUGGGGAUUAGUGGCGAACGGGUGAGUAACACGUGAGUAACCUGCCCUGGACUCUGGGAUAACCCCGAGAAAUCGGAGCUAAUACCGGAUAGGACCUUUCCCUGCAUGGGGUUUGGUGGAAAGUUUUUCGGUCUGGGAUGGACUCGCGGCCUAUCAGCUUGUUGGUGAGGUAAUGGCUCACCAAGGCGUCGACGGGUAGCCGGCCUGAGAGGGUGACCGGCCACACUGGGACUGAGAAACGGCCCAGACUCCUACGGGAGGCAGCAGUGGGGAAUAUUGCACAAUGGGCGCAAGCCUGAUGCAGCAACGCCGCGUGCGGGAUGACGGCCUUCGGGUUGUAAACCGCUUUUAGUAGGGAAGAAGGGCUUCGGCUUGACGGUACCUGCAGAAAAAGGACCGGCUAACUACGUGCCAGCCGCCGCCGUAAUAC
rnacentral:rRNA from 1 species